ensembl:lncRNA
CCCUUGGCGCGGCUUCGUGACCAGGGGGGGGGGGCCCGUUGCGCGCGCGUCCGUCUCCGGAGGCGCGGUAACGCCGAAUUGGUGAAAGAAGCCGCGACGCGAUGACGAGGCGUUCAGGCUCCGGGAGUGAUGUUUGUUCCUGUUGCAGAGUGCGAGCCCUGUUGCUGAGGGAAUAGAAGCCCCGGUCCCGGCAAGAGGACAUGCUGGUCCCGACACAUAUGGACGCUUGCCGUGCGUAAGCGCUCCGGUUUUUAAUCGUUUUAAGGCGUAAAUGAUACUCUCUUCUCUGGG